CCUACUUGUCAAUACGCACGUGUACACAUGAUUAUGAUUAUGAUUACUUGACAACCUUAUGAAUCCCUUUCGCAUUAAUUAUUUUUAAUAAUCAAUCUCAUAGUGUGAGUAGGUACUACAGAUGCAUAUAGGACGCAGAGUAUGUGAUCUUCAUAUUUUAGAGCGUGACAUUUAUGAUAUUCCGAACAUAGGAUCUAAGGACCACCAUCCAUUGGUAGCUACUGCUAAACAACCAUGUACCAGAACGCAUCCGUACAUUGAAUCUAAACAUUCCAUGUAUCCCUCUAAAUAAGUCUUGAAGAAGUUUUAUUAUGCAUGUAGAGAUUAUCCAGUGAUACGUAAUGUAUAUUAAAUACAUUAUUAAUUAUAUACCUGUAACAGAUGAUUCUCGUAUAAAAUUAUACACUCCGUCAUAUUAAUAAUA